rnacentral:tRNA from 1 species
UUAACUGAAACCAAAAAGAGGUAUAUUAUUGUUAAUAAUAAAAAUGAAUUAACUAUUCCAGUUAAG